rnacentral:tRNA from 1 species
GGGGUUGUGGCUCAGUGGUAGAGUGCUUGCCUAGCAUGUGUGAGGCACUGGGUUCAAUUCUCAGCACCGCAA